AUGCGGGGCACAUCAGGAGAAAUUAUCCUGACACCGGCUCCAGCCACCCUGUCAUUGUCUCCAGGAGAAAGGGCCACAAUCUCCUGCAGGGCCAGUCAGAGUGUUAGCAACUACAUGGCCUGGUACCAGCAGAAACCUGGGCAGGCUCCCAGGCAUUCAGCAGGCCCAAUGGCACCCCAGCCUGCUUCAGCGGCAGCGGGUCCGGGACAGACUUCACGCUCACCAUCAGCAGCCUGGAGCCUGAGGAUGCCGCCACUUACUACUGUUUGCAGAAAGACAAUGCACCCCCUUCUGCUUCAUGAUAUGGUGUCAGUACACAGAUGCAAAUCCAGAGUUCCUCUGGAGAGAUUGUCCUGACACAGUCUCCAGCCUCCCUAUCAUUGUCUCAAGGAGAAAGGGCCACGAUCUCCUGCAGGGCCAGUCAGAGUGUUAGCAACUGGUUAGCCUGGUACCAGCAGAAACCUGGGCAGGCUCCCAGGCUCCUCAUCUAUAAGGUAAACAGCAGGCCCAAUGGCAUCCCAGCCCGCUUCAGUGGCAGCGGUUCUGGGACAGACUUCACGCUCACCAUCACCAGCCUGGAGCCUGAAGAUGUUGCCACUUAUUACUGUUAUCAGCAUAAUAGUGGGUACCACAGUGAUUCAACGUGA